rnacentral:rRNA from 1 species
AUUGAACGCUGGCGGCAUGCUUUACACAUGCAAGUCGAACGGCAGCGCGGGCUUCGGCCUGGCGGCUAGUGGCGAACGGGUGAGUAAUGCAUCGGAACGUGCCCCGUAGUGGGGGAUAGCCCGUCGAAAGCCGGAUUAAUACCGCAUACGACCUGAGGGUGAAAGCGGGGGACCGAAAGGCCUCGCGCUAUUGGAGCGGCCGAUGCCGGAUUAGCUAGUUUGUGGGGUAAAGGCUUACCAAGGCGACGAUCCGUAGCUGGUCUGAGAAGACGACCAGCCGCACUGGGACUGAGCCGCCGCCCAGGGUACUGCGGGAGGCAGCAGUGGGGAAUGGUGGACAGUGGGGGCAAACCUGAUCCAGCCAGGCCGCGUGCGGGAAGAAGGCGUUCGGGUUGUAAACCGCUUUUGUUCGGUAAGAAACCCUCUGGGCUAAUACGCCGGGGGAAUGACGGUACCGGAAGAAGAAGCACCGGCUAACUACGUG